GCUGUUGUACUUGUACGGUCGAACUGUCAGUCCACCACAACGAUUAUGCUCCUCGGCACGUUUCACAGCACCACUUCCCUUGUGGCCACACCCACUGGGUUUGCCUACUUCAGAAACUCUGGAAAUGCCACGUGUUCCUCUAAAUUUUGAAUAUCGAGAAGCCACAAAUCGCAUUUUCUGGAUGGCGAGCCGAGUGUCCUCUGAGGAUAUCCCAAGAUGCCACACAGCUCUGACAGAGUUCCCAAAAUGGGGGUACAUGAGAACUUGCACUCCCUGCCCCAGAGCCGCCUCCUCAUCCUCCCCGACCUCACUCAUGCGGGUGCAGAACUCCUGGGGGGUCAUGGUGGAAUCCUGCAGGGCGAAGCGCAGGAUGUUUGUUUCCACCGCAGACACGUCCACAGCAAACAGAGGGGGCUUGCAGUCGAGCAGAGCUGGCAAAGAAAUGGAGCACAGAUAAGUAGAUGGACAAGAACGACAGCCGUCUGGCACAUUAGGUUGUCGGCGCUCACCUAAAGCGAAGGUUUUUGCAUUGCGAUGAUCCUCCACUAAUCUCCCGAUCAUAUUCUCCAAGGAGAACCUGCCAGCUGCUGCUAGAAUACCAGCCUGUCGCAUUCCUCCACCCAGCGCCUUACGGCACCGCAACGCUUUGGAGAUGAAGUCACGUGGUCCAGCCAGCACAGUACCAACCGGGCAGCCUAAACCCUGAUGGACACAAAAAGAAACAACUUUCUUUCUUUCUCCUUUCAGAAUUUACAAGUUUGUUGUUAUGACUUACCUUAGAGAGGCACACACUGACGGUGUGUGUGUGCUGCAGAAUAGUAGAUGGAGGCACCUCCUGGGCAACGGCAGCAUUCAUCACCCUGGCUCCAUCCAUGUGGAGAGACACACCAUACUGGUCUGCUAAAGCACGAACCUUAAAGAGCAAAACAAA